ACCACUAUUUUUAAUUUGUAUAAACUACAUUGUGUCAGGAUCUCUCCUGUCUCUUGUAUUUUCAUUGAGAACUGUGUUUUUAAGAUCCAUCCAUGUUGCUGUGUGUCUACGGUAUGGAGCCACACUAAUUAUCUCUUUACUCCCCCAGGGUUGGACACCUUAGUUUGCCACCAACUCCCUUCCUCUACAAAUAACGCCAAGAUGUCAUCAAUCAUGUUCCUUAUAGACCUGUAAGAGUGUUCCUUUGGGAUAAAUAACCAGGAGGAGGAUCGCUGAGUCACUGUUGCGAAGAUUUGAUGACAAGGGCUGUUCACCCGCACCGGGCUUUGGCGGGUAUUUUUGCCACGUCCCCACCUGGCCUUAGCAUGUGCUCGUUUUGGCUCUUGGACCCGAUUUUGCAGUGACGCCAGACACGCUGAACAGCCAGGGAAAGCCAGAGGGAGGCAGGGAGCCACCCAAGGUCACGCAGCAAGUCAGAACCGACCAGAGUGUGGGGCUGGCCCCUGCCUGGCCACAUGGCAGCCCCCUAUUCACGAGACACAGUGUGUGCCUGGUCAGCUCGGGCAGUGCCAGAAGAGGAGGAC